rfam:HIV-1 isolate VI961 from Democratic Republic of the Congo, complete genome.
UUUUUUAGGGAGAGUUUGGCUUUCCCACAAGGGAAGGCCAGGGAAUUUCCUC